rnacentral:rRNA from 1 species
UACGUAGGUGACAAGCGUUGUCCGGAUUUACUGGGCGUAAAGAGCGCGCAGGCGGUCGUUCAAGUCGAGUGUGAAAGCCCCCCGGCUCAACUGGGGAGGGUCAUUCGAUACUGAUCGACUCGAAGGCAGGAGAGGGAAGUGGAAUUCCCGGUGUAGUGGUGAAAUGCGUAGAUAUCGGGAGGAACACCAGUGGCGAAGGCGACUUCCUGGCCUGUUCUUGACGCUGAGGCGCGAAAGCUAGGGUAGCAAAUGGG